UUGCGGUAUGGGAUGGGGUCGCGUCCUAUCAGCUUGAUGGCGGGGUAACGGCCCACCAUGGCUUCGACGGGUAGCCGGCCUGAGAGGGCGACCGGCCACAUUGGGACUGAGAUACGGCCCAGACUCCUACGGGAGGCAGCAGUGGGGAAUAUUGCACAAUGGGCGCAAGCCUGAUGCAGCGACGCCGCGUGCGGGAUGACGGCCUUCGGGUUGUAAACCGCUUUUGACUGGGAGCAAGCCCUUCGGGGUGAGUGUACCUUUCGAAUAAGCACCGGCUAACUACGUGCCAGCAGCCGCGGUAAUACGUAGGGUGCAAGCGUUAUCCGGAAUUAUUGGGCGUAAAGGGCUCGUAGGCGGUUCGUCGCGUCCGGUGUGAAAGUCCAUCGCUUAACGGUGGAUCCGCGCCGGGUACGGGCGGG
rnacentral:rRNA from 1 species